GUGGUGUUAGCAUGAUCUGAGGGUGGAGUUUUUAGCUUCUCAACUUCAAAAGGUCAACUAUCGGACAUCUCUCUGGGUCCAGUUGAUGAGUUGGUGGUCUCAACAGGCCUGAAGUGGACAAGGGGUUCUAAUUCCUGAAAAACAGCUCACACACCCAUUACCAUGGUGACCCAGGCUCCAGGGAAAUGUUACCUAUAGGAGCCUAGUGGGAGUCAGAUAGCAUAUUGCCUAAGCAGCACAGUUAACAAUGGGUGGGUUAAACAGCCAAAAGCUAUAAUCAGUAAUUGCAAAAAGGUAAAAAAACUUUAGUUCCCAGGUACUUAAUUAUUAAUGGCUAACUCUCUGCCAGUUUCAGAGCAAUGAAAAUUACCCAAAAAAGUGGAAUCAUUAUAUAACGAUAGAAUUGUCAAUCCACCAAGAAGACACAGCAAUCCUAAAUGUGUAUGCACCAAACAAUAUAGCCAUACAAUAUUUGAAUAAAAAACUGAUAGAACUGAAAAGAGAAUAGACAAACGAUAAUUAUAAUUGGAGACUUCAAUACCCAUCUCUCAGCAAUUGGUAGAACUAGACAGAAAAUCAGCAAAGAUAGAGAAGAACUCAAUACCUCCAUCAACUAGCAGGAUCUAACUGACAUUUACACAGCACUCCCCUCAACAACAGCAGAAAACACGUUUUUCCCAAGUGUCCAUGGAACAUGUAUCAAUAUAAGCCAUAUCGUGAGCAUGAAACAGACUUUAACAAAUUUAAAAGAAUUAAAAUUAUGCAGAGUGUGUUCUCCAAUUACAAUGGAAUCAAAGUAGAAAUCAAUAGUAGAGAAAUAACAGAAAAAUUUUCAAACAUUAGGAAACUAAGGCAUAAACUUCUAAACAAACCAUGAGUCAAAGAGGAAUUCUCAAGGGAAAUAAAAUAAUACAUUAAACUAAAUGACAUUGAAGAUAUGACAUAUCAAAAUCUAUGGGACUCUGCUAAACCAGUACUGAGAGGUAAAUUUAUAGAACUAAAUGCAUACAAUUAGGAAAGAAGAAAAGUCUCAAAUCAAUAAUCUAAUCUCCUACCUUCAGAAUCUAGAAAAAGAACUGCAAAAUAAACCCAAAGCAAACAGAAAAGGGAAAUAAUAAAGAUAAGAGAAAAAUCAAUCAAACUGUAAAGAAAAAAUAACAAAGAAAAAUCAAUGAAAAAAAGAGUGGGUUCUUCUUACCCCCACCCCCCUUUUUUUGGUGAGGAAGAUUAGCCCUAAGCUAAUGUCUGUUGGCAAUCUUCCUCUUUUUGCUCGAGGAAGAUUGUUACUGAGUUAACAUCUGUGCCAAUCUUCCUCUAUUU
rnacentral:lncRNA from 1 species